rnacentral:tRNA from 1 species
GCGGGAAUAGCUCAAUUGGUAGAGCACAACCUUGCCAAGGUUGGGGUCGCGAGUUCGAGUCUCGUUUCCCGCU